rnacentral:rRNA from 1 species
GUUAUAUGGUCAAGUGAAGAAGCGCAUACGGUGGAUGCCUUGGCAGUCAGAGGCGAUGAAAGACGUGGUAGCCUGCGAUAAGCUUCGGGGAGUCGGCAAACAGACUUUGAUCCGGAGAUCUCUGAAUGGGGGAACCCACUCAGCAUAAGCUGAGUAUCUUGUACUGAAUACAUAGGUGCAAGAGGCGAACCAGGGGAACUGAAACAUCUAAGUACCCUGAGGAAAAGAAAUCAACCGAGAUUCCCUUAGUAGUGGCGAGCGAACGGGGACUAGCCCUUAAGUGGCUUUGAGAUUAGCGGAACGCUCUGGAAAGUGCGGCCAUAGUGGGUGAUAGCCCUGUACGCGAAAAUCUCUUAGUCAUGAAAUCGAGUAGGACGGAGCACGAGAAACUUUGUCUGAAUAUGGGGGGACCAUCCUCCAAGGCUAAAUACUACUGACUGACCGAUAGUGAACCAGUACCGUGAGGGAAAGGCGAAAAGAACCCCGGAGAGGGGAGUGAAAUAGAUCCUGAAACCGUAUGCGUACAAGCAGUGGGAGCCUACUUUGUUAGGUGACUGCGUACCUUUUGUAUAAUGGGUCAGCGACUUAUAUUCAGUGGCGAGCUUAACCGAAUAGGGGAGGCGUAGCGAAAGCGAGUCUUAAUAGGGCGUUUAGUCGCUGGGUAUAGACCCGAAACCGGGCGAUCUAUCCAUGGGCAGGUUGAAGGUUAGGUAACACUGACUGGAGGACCGAACCGACUACCGUUGAAAAGUUAGCGGAUGACCUGUGGAUCGGAGUGAAAGGCUAAUCAAGCUCGGAGAUAGCUGGUUCUCCUCGAAAGCUAUUUAGGUAGCGCCUCAUGUAUCACUGUAGGGGGUAGAGCACUGUUUCGGCUAGGGGGUCAUCCCGACUUACCAAACCGAUGCAAACUCCGAAUACCUACAAGUGCCGAGCAUGGGAGACACACGGCGGGUGCUAACGUCCGUCGUGAAAAGGGAAACAACCCAGACCGUCAGCUAAGGUCCCAAAGUCAUGGUUAAGUGGGAAACGAUGUGGGAAGGCUUAGACAGCUAGGAGGUUGGCUUAGAAGCAGCCACCCUUUAAAGAAAGCGUAAUAGCUCACUAGUCGAGUCGGCCUGCGCGGAAGAUGUAACGGGGCUCAAACCAUGCACCGAAGCUACGGGUAUCACUUAGGUGAUGCGGUAGAGGAGCGUUCUGUAAGCCUGUGAAGGUGAGUUGAGAAGCUUGCUGGAGGUAUCAGAAGUGCGAAUGCUGACAUGAGUAACGACAAUGGGAGUGAAAAACUCCCACGCCGAAAGACCAAGGUUUCCUGCGCAACGUUAAUCGACGCAGGGUUAGUCGGUCCCUAAGGCGAGGCUGAAAAGCGUAGUCGAUGGAAAACAGGUUAAUAUUCCUGUACUUCUAGUUAUUGCGAUGGAGGGACGGAGAAGGCUAGGCCAGCUUGGCGUUGGUUGUCCAAGUUUAAGGUGGUAGGCUGAGAUCUUAGGUAAAUCCGGGAUCUUAAGGCCGAGAGCUGAUGACGAGUUGCCUUUAGGCGACGAAGUGGUUGAUGCCAUGCUUCCAAGAAAAGCUUCUAAGCUUCAGAUAACUAGGAACCGUACCCCAAACCGACACAGGUGGUUGGGUAGAGAAUACCAAGGCGCUUGAGAGAACUCGGGUGAAGGAACUAGGCAAAAUGGCACCGUAACUUCGGGAGAAGGUGCGCCGGUGAGGGUGAAGGACUUGCUCCGUAAGCUCAUGCCGGUCGAAGAUACCAGGCCGCUGCGACUGUUUAUUAAAAACACAGCACUCUGCAAACACGAAAGUGGACGUAUAGGGUGUGACGCCUGCCCGGUGCCGGAAGGUUAAUUGAUGGGGUUAGCUAACGCGAAGCUCUUGAUCGAAGCCCCGGUAAACGGCGGCCGUAACUAUAACGGUCCUAAGGUAGCGAAAUUCCUUGUCGGGUAAGUUCCGACCUGCACGAAUGGCGUAACGAUGGCGGCGCUGUCUCCACCCGAGACUCAGUGAAAUUGAAAUCGCUGUGAAGAUGCAGUGUAUCCGCGGCUAGACGGAAAGACCCCGUGAACCUUUACUAUAGCUUUGCACUGGACUUUGAAUUUGCUUGUGUAGGAUAGGUGGGAGGCUUUGAAGCGUGGACGCCAGUUCGCGUGGAGCCAUCCUUGAAAUACCACCCUGGCAACUUUGAGGUUCUAACUCAGGUCCGUUAUCCGGAUCGAGGACAGUGUAUGGUGGGUAGUUUGACUGGGGCGGUCUCCUCCUAAAGAGUAACGGAGGAGUACGAAGGUGCGCUCAGACCGGUCGGAAAUCGGUCGUAGAGUAUAAAGGCAAAAGCGCGCUUGACUGCGAGACAGACACGUCGAGCAGGUACGAAAGUAGGUCUUAGUGAUCCGGUGGUUCUGUAUGGAAGGGCCAUCGCUCAACGGAUAAAAGGUACUCCGGGGAUAACAGGCUGAUACCGCCCAAGAGUUCAUAUCGACGGCGGUGUUUGGCACCUCGAUGUCGGCUCAUCACAUCCUGGGGCUGAAGCCGGUCCCAAGGGUAUGGCUGUUCGCCAUUUAAAGUGGUACGCGAGCUGGGUUUAGAACGUCGUGAGACAGUUCGGUCCCUAUCUGCCGUGGACGUUUGAGAUUUGAGAGGGGCUGCUCCUAGUACGAGAGGACCGGAGUGGACGAACCUCUGGUGUUCCGGUUGUCACGCCAGUGGCAUUGCCGGGUAGCUAUGUUCGGAAGAGAUAACCGCUGAAAGCAUCUAAGCGGGAAACUUGCCUCAAGAUGAGAUCUCACUGGAGCCUUGAGCUCCCUGAAGGGCCGUCGAAGACUACGACGUUGAUAGGUUGGGUGUGUAAGCGCUGUGAGGCGUUGAGCUAACCAAUACUAAUUGCCCGUGAGGCUUGACCAUAUAACACCCAAGCA